UACGAAGGGGGCUAGCGUUGCUCGGAAUUACUGGGCGUAAAGGGCGCGUAGGCGGUUCGAUAAGUCCCGUGUGAAAUCCCUCGGCUCAACUGAGGAACUGCACGGGAAACUGACGGGCUUGAGUUCGGGAGAGGGAAGCGGAAUUCCGGGUGUAGCGGUGAAAUGCGUAGAGAUGUGGAGGAACACCAGUGGCGAAGGCGACUCUUUGGCCUGUAACUGACGCUGAGGCGCGAAAGCGUGGGGAGCAAACAGG
rnacentral:rRNA from 1 species